GGUGAGUAACACGUGGGUAACCUGCCUGUAAGACUGGGAUAACUCCGGGAAACCGGGGCUAAUACCGGAUAACUUUUUUCUUCGCAUGAAGGAGAAUUGAAAGAUGGCUUUUCGCUAUCACUUACAGAUGGACCCGCGGCGCAUUAGCUAGUUGGUGAGGUAACGGCUCACCAAGGCGACGAUGCGUAGCCGACUUGAGAGGGUGAUCGGCCACACUGGGACUGAGACACGGCCCAGACUCCUACGGGAGGCAGCAGUAGGGAAUCUUCCGCAAUGGACGAAAGUCUGACGGAGCAACGCCGCGUGAGUGAUGAAGGUUUUCGGAUCGUAAAACUCUGUUGUUAGGGAAGAACAAGUAUCGUUCGAAUAGGGCGGUACCUUGACGGUACCUAACCAGAAAGCCACGGCUAACUACGUGCCAGCAGCCGCGGUAAUACGUAGGUGGCAAGCGUUGUCCGGAAUUAUUGGGCGUAAAGCGCGCGCAGGCGGUUUCUUAAGUCUGAUGUGAAAUCUUGCGGCUCAACCGCAAGCGGCCAUUGGAAACUGGGAGACUUGAGUGCAGAANAGGAGAGUGGAAUUCCACGUGUAGCGGUGAAAUGCGUANAGAUGUGGAGGAACACCAGUGGCGAANGCGACUCUCUGGUCUGUAACUGACGCUGANGCGCGAAAGCGUGGGGAGCGAACAGGAUUAGAUACCCUGGUAGUCCACGCC
rnacentral:rRNA from 1 species